UACGUAGGGGGCUAGCGUUGUCCGGAUUUAUUGGGCGUAAAGAGCGUGUAGGCGGCCAGGUAGGUCCGCUGUGAAAACUCGAGGCUCAACCUCGAGAUGUCGGCGGAAACCAUCUGGCUAGAGUCCGGAAGAGGAGAGUGGAAUUCCUGGUGUAGCGGUGAAAUGCGCAGAUAUCAGGAAGAACACCUAUGGCGAAGGCAGCUCUCUGGGACGGUACUGACGCUGAGACGCGAAAGCGUGGGGAGCGAACAGG
rnacentral:rRNA from 1 species